rnacentral:tRNA from 1 species
CAACUAAUAGUUUAUAUAAAAUAUAGGUUUUGGAGACUUAAGAAAAAUUAUUUUAGUUGA